AGUUGGUAGGGUAAAGGCCUACCAAGGCGACGAUCUAUAGCUGGUCUGAGAGGACGAUCAGCCACACUGGGACUGAGACACGGCCCAGACUCCUACGGGAGGCAGCAGUGGGGAAUAUUGGACAAUGGGCGCAAGCCUGAUCCAGCAAUACCGCGUGUGUGAAGAAGGCCUUAGGGUUGUAAAGCACUUUCAAUUGGGAGGAAAACCUGCCGGUCAAUACCCGGUAGCUUGACAUUACCUUUAGAAGAAGCACCGGCUAACUCCGUGCCAGCAGCCGCGGUAAUACGGAGGGUGCGAGCGUUAAUCGGAAUUACUGGGCGUAAAGCGUGCGUAGGCGGUUCGUUAAGUCAGAUAUGAAAGCCCUGGGCUCAACCUGGGAACGGCAUUUGAAACUGGCGGACUAGAGUUUAGUAGAGGGGAGUGGAAUUUCAGGUGUAGCGGUGAAAUGCGUAGAUAUCUGAAGGAACACCAGUGGCGAAGGCGACUCCCUGGACUAGAACUGACGCUGAGGUACGAAAGCGUGGGUAGCAAACAGGAUUAGAUACCCUGGUAGUCCACGCCGUAAACGAUGUCGACUAGCCGUUGGUCCUAUUUACAGGAUUAGUGGCGCAGCUAACGCAUUAAGUCGACCGCCUGGGGAGUACGGCCGCAAGGUUAAAACUUAAAUGAAUUGACGG
rnacentral:rRNA from 1 species